CUUCCAUGUCCAUUCAUACCCUGGGUGUAGACAUGUCCUAACAUUCACAGGUGAAGAGACUUCCACUUUGUAUUGCCUACAGAUUUUAAAAAAUCCUCUUUCAUUGUUUCCACACCAAAGGCUAAAAUACAGUAAAUUCAGUGCUACCUUUCUUCCUUCCUGUGCCAUCCCUUUCUGAGAAGAGAUGGCAACACCGGCAACUGCCUGCUGGACUAUAAAGAACACUGGUGUAGCUUCACAAUCAAGAUCUAACAAGACAAGGCCAAAUUCAGUGGAUCCAUGUGAUUGUAGGCUCAUUUAUGUCAACAGACAGGACUUCCUGAAGCUAUACAGUUCAGAACUGCUUUACCACUUCUGUGAAAGGACAAAAGCUAGCCAGAAGACAGUGAGGUGGCUUAAAUAGAACUUAAGGAACUGUAGCUCUAAAUGAUUAGAACCGGAAAUAAAUUUUAUAAAAAGAAAAAAAAAUAAAAAGAA
rnacentral:lncRNA from 1 species